ACAUACCCAUGCGGAAAGAAAAACACAGGAUAAACAAAACGCUUGAGAGGCUCUUUCAGGGAAGAGAACUAGCAGACACAGCACAAGGGAAUGUGAACUCUGCCCAGACACUGAGAAUACAGGUCAACUCCAGAAAGAGAUUGCUUACAAAGAUGAGUCGUUUUAUCUCAGAUCCACAGUCCUGUUGAUAAAUCUCAAAGCGAUUCACCAAGAAGGAAGAUUUCCCAGGGAAUAAGUUCCAGCCCUUAUUUAGACCAGGCAAAGGUAUUGCUUAGCAGUCUGGGGACACAAAUAAACUGCCUGUGCCAAUUCAAAACUC